AUAGGAAUAUAUUUCUUUAAAGAAAAUUUUAUUUUUUUUUUAAAGUUAUAUAUUUUAGUAAUAGAAAAAAUCAUGUAUAGUAAAAUUGUCUAGAAAACAAUAAUAAUAAUAUUAUUUCUAUUUAGUAGAAAUUUAUAUUAUAUAAUAAAAUGUAUUAAAUUAAUAUAAUGGUAUAACUAUGCAACAAUUAUAACACAAACAAGUGAAAUAAGUACGUAAGUAUGGCAUAAUGAACAAAUAACACUGAUUGUAAUGGUUAUUGAUAACGAAUAAAAGUUACGCUAGGGAUAACAGGGUAAUAUAGCGAAAGAGUAGAUAUUGUAAGCUAUGUUUGCCACCUCGAUGUCGACUCUACCUAUCCUCUUGGUUGUAAAUGCUAAGAAGGGUUUGACUGUUCGUCAAUUAAAAGGUAACGUGAGUUGGGUUAAAUACGAUGUAAAUCAGUAUGGUU
rnacentral:rRNA from 1 species